AAUUGAAAUGACAGUGGAUC
rnacentral:piRNA from 1 species